CGUCCGCAGACCGACCCAAACAAAAGCUCUGUCCUCCUGGGGCUCGGGCGGCCUCGCCUCUCCACGGUGCCCGAUUCGCCGGGCUUCUGGAGGGUCACGAUGGAGGCCACAACGUGUGCCCUGCCGGCGCCGCCACUUUGUGCAAAAUGUGCUGUCAGAGGCGGCCUGCAGCUCCUAGGUGCACGUGUGUGUGUGUGUGUGUGUGUGUGUGUGUGUGUUACGAACAAGAGGGGAAAAGCCAGCUAAUGCAUACUUGAUUUUGGUAAUCUCCAAAGACAAUCGCAACAGUUAGAGAAAGACUUUACCGAAAGCUCCGGCGUCUUAGUUCGCUGCGGGAAGCUGGGAUCCUUGCUGAGUCUGAGCCGGUACACAAUGAGAGGGAAGAGCCGGGCUGCGCCUGUGGAGACAACCGAUUCAUUCUUUAGAGGUUGGAGGGGGAAAGUUGAUUAAAGUCUCCAGGGUCUUGGGCCUCACUUUUAACAUGCAUCCCUUGAGGGAGUGCUGGAGCCCCUGAAUUCUUCCCUCCCUUCCUCCCAGCCCCAACCUAUGCUCUUUUAUCAUGCAUCUUUCAUUUUUAAGUUAACGCUGUGCUUUUAGGGAGAAAAAAGGCUCUGGGCUAUUUAGCAGUUGAGGGGAAGAGAUCUGUUCCCUACAUGGACUAUGGCUGCAGAAUUAGUUUGGACUAAAAUCUAGCUAAUAUUUUUUCGUAGUAGAAAAACAAUCUGGAAGGAAGUUUUGUGUGAAUUUUGAUUUCUUGGAGAUGACUUUGGGGAAGUGGGAACCACAGUUUCCAAAGAUGAUUCUGAAACUGAUCCUAUAGUGUGGUUGUGCUAAUCUGGAGACUCCUCCGGGGUAAAUACAGCUCCUAAUCGUAAUUAAGAUGUACAUCAGCAGGGAGUGCACCUUCCUGAUGAAAAAUCCUAAUGAAAUGUAAACAGCCUGGUCACAUGGAUGUUUGCUUCCUUGAUGCCAAACAUCUGGUUCCAUGCCACACACCUGGGUGAAAAGUAAAAAAUGGGCCAUACUGCCUA
rnacentral:lncRNA from 1 species